AAUAAACAAAUUGGAGUUUUUAAAGCAAAAAUGGCCAAAACAGAGGAUGUGAAUGGCCAUUCCUUUAUAAAAUAGGAACUGAAUCUGGUGUUCUUUCAAGAGGUUCUUGAGCUUUACAUUACUUCUCUACUGCUCUCUCUUUUCCAUAAUCCGAGCACAGUUUUCCUCUUUAUGUAAGCUUCUCUCUCUAUUUGCUUUCUCUAACUGAGCACGCACAAAGUUCUUUUUUUGAGACAUCAUUUGAGCCUCUUGUCUCCUUGACAACGUGAUAUCCGCAUCCUCAAGUUCAAGAUUUGCCAAAGUAUUUCUAAUGGCUUCUAUAAGCACUCAAAAAGCCUCAUCUUCGUCAACACCAAGUUGGAAAUAUGAUGUCUUUCUUAGUUUUAGAGGCGAGGAUACCCGCAAUAGUUUUACAGAUCAUAUAUAUGGUGCUUUAAAACAAAAAGGCAUUGAGGUCUUCAGAGAUGAGGAAAAACUUGAGACAGGGAAAUCUAUUGCACCGGCACUCUUGAAAGCAAUAGAAGAAUCAAGAUUUGCAGUUGUCAUUCUCUCAGGAAACUAUGCAUCUUCUACAUGGUGCUUGGAUGAACUCGUAAAGAUCAUUGAAUGCAUGAAAGAGAAGAAAAUGAUAAUUUUCCCAAUUUUUUAUGAUGUGGAUCCAUCUGACAUACGAAAACAAACUGGUACUUUUGCCCAAGCCUUUGCUAAACACAACGAAUGUUUUAAGGAUUGCAUAGAGAAGGUGCAAAAAUGGAGUUUUGCUUUGAGAGAAGUGGCCAAUAUCAAAGGGUGGCAUACACAGGAUAGGCCUGAGUCAAAAAUUAUCCAAAAUAUUGUGAGAGACUUAUUGCAUAAAUUGACUUAUGCAUCCACAGAAAAUAAUGAAGAUCUAGUAGGAAUAACUUCUCGAGCAGAGAAAUUAAAGAUAUGUUUGGCUUUAGGGUCCAAUGAUGUUCGUAUUAUAGGGAUUUGGGGGAUGGGAGGAAUUGGUAAAACAACUAUUGCUAGAGUUGUUUUUCGUAUGGUUUCUAAUGAAUUUGAAGCUUAUUGUUUUCUUGCUAAUGUUAGGGAAGUUUCUGAAAGAGCCGGUUUAGUUGUAUUACAACAACAACUUAUUCUUCAAAUUUUGAAGGAAAGUAUGAUUAUACAAGAUGUUGAUGAUGGAGUUCUUUUGAUAAAAAAUAGGUUACGUCAUAAAAGAAUUCUUCUAGUUCUUGAUGAUGUAAAUCAAUUAGACCAACUAAAAAAGUUAGUUGGGAAGCAUAUUUGGUUUGGUCCAGGUAGUAGAAUUAUCUUAACAACAAGAGAUAAGCAUUUGCUACAGACAUUUGGAGUAGAUGAAAUAUAUGAGGUUGAUCAAUUGAAUGAUGAUGAAGCUCUUCAUCUUAUGAGUUUGAAAGCUUUUAAAAAAGACCAUCCUCCCAAAGAUUAUUUGAAGUUGUCUAAAGAUUUUGUAUAUUAUGCUGGUGGCCUACCUUUAGCUGUUGAGAUUUUGGGUUCCUUUUUGUUCGGUAGAAUAAUUGAUGAAUGGAAUAGUGCAUUAGAUAGGCUUAAAGAAUUUCCUGAACCUAAAAUUCUCCAAGUACUUAAAAUAUCUUUUGAUGGACUACAUGAAGUAGAGAAGGAAAUAUUCCUACAUAUUGCAUGUUUCUUUAAGCAAACAAACAAAAAUGUAGUAGAAAUACUGGAUUAUCUUGGCCUUUACCCUAAAAUUGGAUUACGGGUUCUUAUUGAUAAAUCUCUCAUAAAAGUUUGUGAGGAUUAUUUUUGGAUGCAUGAUUUACUACACGAGAUGGGGAAGAACAUAGUUUUUCAAGAGUGCCCUAAAGAGCCUGGAAAGCGUAGCCGACUGUGGUUAUUUAAGGACAUAGACGAUGUUCUUACAAAUAAUAUGGGAACACAAGCAAUUGAAGGCAUGGUCCUAAAGUUGCAUGAACCAAAAGAGGCAUAUUGGAAUCCUAAAUCAUUUUCAAAGAUUCAUCAUCUUAAAUUGCUCAUAAUUGAUAAUGUUCACCUUUUGCGUGUGCCCAAACAUCUUCCUAAUGCUUUGAGAUAUCUUGAUUGGAGUGGAUACCCUUUAAAAUCAUUUCCAUCAAGUUUCCAACAUCAGCCUUUUGACAUGUUAAAAUUCAUUCGCUUGAAGCAAUCUCUACAAUUGAUUGAAACCCUUAACUUCAACAAAAUCCCAAAUCUUGAGAAAUUGGUUCUUAAGGGUUGUAUAAAUUUACUUGGCUUGCACCCAUCAAUUGGAGUUCAUAAAAAGCUCAUUCUUCUUAAUCUAAAAGGUUGCAAAAACCUCAGAAGUCUUCCAAGCAAGUUUGAAAUGGAGUCUCUUAAGAUUCUUAUCCUUUCUGAUUGCUUAAAAGUAGAAAGAAUCCCAGAAUUUGGGGAGAACAUGGAACGUGUAUCAGAGCUUUACUUGGAUGCCACUGCUAUCACAAAAUUACCCACAUCAAUUGGGAAUUUAACUGGUCUUGCUUUAUUGGAUGUAAGAGACUGCAAAAAUCUCAUAUCUCUUCCUAGCACCUUUUUUAAUAUGAAGUCCCUUAAAAAUCUCAAUUUUUCUGGAUGCUCGAAACUACUAGAGAGCUUAUGGAGGAUUAAUGAAAGUGUAGAGGAGCCUGGUGCAAGUGGAAUUCUAACAAGAUUUAAGCCGAGAAUUCCCAAUUCUAUGUGCCAGCUAUCAACUUCUCUAAUGGGUUUGGGUUCUUUGACCAAUUUGGUUCUAAGUAGUUGCAAUCUCAAUGCAAUCCCCAAUGAUAUUUGUUGCUUAUCCUCUCUAGAAAUUUUAAAUUUAAGUGAUAAUAAAUUUGAAUGCCUUCCGGAAAGCAUAAGUCAACUAUCUGCCCUGCAACUUUUGAAUGUGGCGGAUUGCAUGAAGCUUAUAUCAUUACCAAAGCUUCCAUCAAGUAUUCGUUCAAUCGAGGCAUUUGACUGUCCAUCACUUAAAGCAGUGACAAAUUUAUUGAAACCAAAUUCUUUGAAUUUGGCGGAUAGCAUGAAGCUUAUAUCAUUACCGAAGCUUCCACCAAGUAUUCGUUCAAUCGAGGCAUUUGACUGUCCAUCACCUAAAGCGGUAACAAAUAUAUUGACACCAUAUUCUUUAGGUGAGCCAAGACUCCUCCUUUCAAAUCGCUGUAGGCUGGCUAACAAUCAAGGCGUCAUUAACACUUUUUUUGCAGUCAUAAGAAAGCAUCAUCAGGGACCCUGCUUUGGCUACGAAAUCGGUUACGCAUAUGACCUAAUUAUUCCUGGAAAUAGAAUUCCAAGGUGGUUUAGCCAUCAAACUACAGGGACUGAAAUAAGUCUAAAAGUACCAAGUCAUUUGCGUGAUGAGUGGAUGGGGAUUGUUGUUUGCACUGUAUUUUGUUCUACUCCACCUUACGAAACCAACCCAAUCAACCGCAGUUCAAUUUUUAGUUUUUUGAUAGCCAAUGGAAAAAAAGUGCGUAGAAGAGUCUUUAGACCUGGAGACAUUUUUAUGAUGGAUCAUAUUAGGCUAUCUUAUUUACUUCCUGAAUUAUUUGAUAAGGAAGCCAUGGAAGAAUUGUGGCAAUGUGAUGUAAAUGGAUUCAGUCAUAUUGGAAUUCAAAUCCCAACGCAAAAUACAGGCUUAGAGGUGAGGAGCUUCGGGUUCCGCAUGGUAUACAAGAAAGACAUGGAAGAUUUCAACCAAACAAUGGCUCAGUUUGCCAACAAUAGCAUUACUCCUUAUUAGGGUUUGGAUGUUAUCCGUCAUAAUUUCGACAAUUCGGUCAUUUCAGAGGAAGGCAAAAAAGUCAAGCGAAUCUGUGAUGACUAUGAUGGGGCUGGACCUAGUGGAGAAGGAAGCUCUAAUGAUGUACCACACCCAAAAAGGAUUGAAAGCAUCCCAGAAUUUUUGGCUCAUGGUAUCUCUGAUUGUGAUGAGUCAAGUGAUAGUGAUUAGUGACCUGGGAAGUUUAAUCAACUUUUUGCUCUUGAUUAUCUGUUUAUUGGACUUGUUCUGGUUCAUAAGGAGAAACUUUCACAUGCCCAAGAAACAAGAAGACAAGUCCAGUCCACUUUAUGCUCCUAAUUUCACUCGCUCUAUUGGAAUGCUGGGUAGAAUCUUCAUUUUGUUGCCUAUAGUUCAUUGUUUUAAAAUUAUUCAAUAUGCAAAAACAAUUUAUGCAUGCCACUGCAAACAUUACAAUUGGAAUUACUUAUUAUGUCGUUUCAUAUUACAUAUGUGAACUCAUGUCAUGUAUAGAUCACAAUUAGAAUGAUUAAUCUACCUAGAGUUAGCAUCUAGCUUCCUCCCUUGUUGAAGGUUUUCUA